rnacentral:rRNA from 1 species
UACGUAGGGGGCAAGCGUUGUCCGGAUUUAUUGGGCGUAAAGAGCUCGUAGGUGGUUCGGUAAGUCGGAUGUGAAAUCUCCAGGCUCAACCUGGAGGGGUCAUUCGAUACUGCCGUGACUAGAGUUCGGUAGGGGAGUGUGGAAUUCCUAGUGGAGCGGUGAAAUGCGCAGAUAUCAGGAGGAACACCCGUAGCGAAGGCGGCACUCUGGGCCGAUACUGACACUGAGGAGCGAAAGCGUGGGGAGCGAACAGG